GAAAUGCGAUAAGUAAUGUGAAUUGCAGAAUUCAGUGAAUCAUCGAAUCUUUGAACGCACAUUGCGCCCGCCAGUAUUCUGGCGGGCAUGCCUGUUCGAGCGUCAUUUCAACCAUCAAGCCCCGCGCUUGUGUUGGGGACCUGCGGCUGCCGCAGGCCCUGAAAACCAGUGGCGGGCUCGCUGUCACACCGGGCGUAGUAGAUUUUAUCUCGCUCAGGGCGUGCUGCGGGUUCCGGCCGUUAAAAAGCCUUACAAAACCCAAGGUUGACCUCGGAUCAGGUAGGAAGACCCGCUGAACUUAAGC
rnacentral:misc_RNA from 1 species